rnacentral:rRNA from 1 species
UAGCGGCGGACGGCGUUUAGUAACACGUGGGUAACCUGCCUGUAAGACUGGGAUAACUCCGGGAAACCGGGGCUAAUACCGGAUGCUUGAUUGAACCGCAUGGUUCAAUUAUAAAAGGUGGCUUUUAGCUACCACUUACAGAUGGACCCGCGGCGCAUUAGCUAGUUGGUGAGGUAACGGCUCACCAAGGCGACGAUGCGUAGCCGACCUGAGAGGGUGAUCGGCCACACUGGGACUGAGACACGGCCCAGACUCCUACGGGAGGCAGCAGUAGGGAAUCUUCCGCAAUGGACGAAAGUCUGAC